GCGUUGGUGGUAUAGUGGUGAGCAUAGCUGGCUUCCAAGCUGUUGACUUGAGAUCAAUUCUCGGCCAACCCA